AACGAACGCUGGCGGCAUGCCUAACACAUGCAAGUCGAACGAACCCUUCGGGGUUAGUGGCGCACGGGUGCGUAACACGUGGGAAUCUGCCCUUUGCUUCGGAAUAACAGUUAGAAAUGACUGCUAAUACCGGAUGAUGUCGUAAGACCAAAGAUUUAUCGGCAAAGGAUGAGCCCGCGUAGGAUUAGGUAGUUGGUGGGGUAAAAGGCCUACCAAGCCGACGAUCCUUAGCUGGUCUGAGAGGAUGAUCAGCCACACUGGGACUGAGACACGGCCCAGACUCCUACGGGAGGCAGCAGUGGGGAAUAUUGGACAAUGGGCGAAAGCCUGAUCCAGCAAUGCCGCGUGAGUGAUGAAGGCCUCGGUUGUAAGACUCUUUACCUAGGAGUGAUAAUAGACAGUA
rnacentral:rRNA from 1 species